rnacentral:rRNA from 1 species
GUGGGGAAUCUUAGACAAUGGGCGCAAGCCUGAUCUAGCCAUGCCGCGUGAUCGAUGAAGGCCUUAGGGUUGUAAAGAUCUUUCAGUGGGGAAGAUAAUGACUGUACCCACAGAAGAAGCCCCGGCUAACUCCGUGCCAGCAGCCGCGGUAAUACGGAGGGGGCUAGCGUUGUUCGGAAUUACUGGGCGUAAAGCGCACGUAGGCGGAACAGAAAGUCAGAGGUGAAAUCCCAGGGCUCAACCUUGGAACUGCCUUCAAAACUCCUGGUCUGGAGUUCGAGAGAGGUGAGUGGAAUUCCGAGUGUAGAGGUGAAAUUCGUAGAUAUUCGGAGGAACACCAGUGGCGAAGGCGGCUCACUGGCUCGAUACUGACGCUGAGGUGCGAAAGCGUGGGGAGCAAACAGGAUUAGAUACCCUUGUAGUCC